rnacentral:tRNA from 1 species
GGGAAGAUAGCUCAGUUGGUAGAGUGCUUGCCUUGCAAGCAUGAGGACCUGGGUUCGGUCCCUGGACCCUCCU